UACAGAGGCCACAAGCGUUAGGCGGAAUCACUGGGCUUAAAGCGUGUGUAGGCGGAUCGUUAAGUGCCUUGUGAAAUCCCACGGCUCACCCGUGGAACGGCUGGGCAUACUGGCGGUCUUGAGCCAUCUAGGGGCGACUGGAACAAACGGUGGAGCGGUGAAAUGCGUAGAUAUCGUUUGGAACGCCAACGGUGAAAACAGGUCGCUGGGGAUGAGCUGACGCUGAGACACGAAAGCCAGGGGAGCAAACGGG
rnacentral:rRNA from 1 species